GAUGAACGCUGGCGGCGUGCCUAAUACAUGCAAGUCGAGCGACCGGACGAGAAGCUUGCUUCUCUGAUGUUAGCGGCGGACGGGUGAGUAACACGUGGAUAACCUACCUAUAAGACUGGGAUAACGUCGGGAAACCGGAGAUAAUACCGGAUGAUAUGUUGAACCGCAUGGUUCAAAAGUGAAAGACCGUCUUGCUCUCCCUUAUAGAUGGAACCGCGCUGCAUUAGCUAGUUGGUAAGGUAACGGCUUACCAAGGCAACGAUGCAUAGCCGACCUGAGAGGGCGAUCAGCCACACUGGAACUGAGACACGGUCCAGACUCCUACGGGAGGCAGCAGUAGGGAAUCUUGGGCAAUGGGCGAAAGCCUGACCGAGCAACGCCGCGUGAGUGAAGAAGGUCUUCGGGUCGUAAAACUCUGUUGUUAGGGAAGAACAUAUGUGUAAGAAACUGUGCACAGCUUGACGGUACCUAAUCAGAAAGCCCCGGCUAACUACGUG
rnacentral:rRNA from 1 species